GGACUACCGGGGUAUCUAAUCCCGUUUGCUCCCCUGGCUUUCGCGCCUCAGCGUCAGAAGAGGUCCAGCACGUCGCUUUCGCCACCGGCGUUCCUUCCGAUAUCUACGCAUUUCACCGCUCCACCGGAAGUUCCACAUGCCCCUACCUCCCUCCAGCAACGCAGUAUCCAAGGCCCUUUUCCGGUUAAGCCGAAAGCUUUCACCCCGGACUUGCAUUGCCGCCUACGCGCCCUUUAAGCCCAGUGAAUCCGAACAACGUUCGCACGGUUCGUCUUACCGCGGCUGCUGGCAC
rnacentral:rRNA from 1 species